AUAAAGACCUUCUUAUAGCAAGUUAAAGAAAGAAAUGGUUAACGCAUUCCAAAGAAUUUUGAACAAUUCCAAACUUUGAAUUUUAACUAAAAUUUGCAAUAUUUUGCAGAGUUUUCUCAUAUUGCUAAGCCAUCGUGAUUUUGCCCCAAAUUUCGAAGCUAGACAAAGGCGAUUUCUUGCGAACUCAGUGUGUCGAAAUUGUAUUGAUGUAUAAUCUCAUUUUUGCUGACAGCAAUUUUUCUGGUUUACGUUUUUGUUAUUAGUCGGUGGGGCCACCUGUGGUGCCACCGACUCUUGGUACGCCACAAAUUACGUCAUUUUAAUUACGUAAUUCUUACGAAAUAGAAAUCAAAAUGGCGACCAUGGAAUUGCGUGCAAAAUUUCGCUAUUGAAUAUUUGGUUCAGUGAUUCAGUCGUGUCUUUUCUUUGGGGGGUUUUGAAAGAAAUAUAUUAAGAAUUCACUAAACGUUAUCACGACGUUUCACUGUUAUGUUAUCGAGGAGGGAAGUGGAUAAUUUGUACAUAAUUUUAUACAUUUAAAGUUUGUAUCGCGCGGCGGAGUCGGAGAUAUCGGGCGCGCAAUUUUGAUGCUUUCUAUAUAUUUACUAUUGAAUUUUCGAAAUCUCCGGCGCGCAAUUUCCAAACUUUCCAGUCAGUAAUAAUAUUUUGGUCUUUUGGAUCUACAUAAAUUAAACUUAAACUGAAGUCAGACGUCGCCUGCUUCUUUCGACCAGUUGGUAACAUAACACCAGCCGAUCAGUGUAAUGACAACAGGAUGAACGCUUAUAAUUUUAACACAUAC